ACAGUGCAGCCCACAGGCAGGAAUGUGACGUGAAAGCAGCAGAGUGUAACUGAGACUCUGAGCUUGUUGUGUUUUUGAUCUGUAUUUCCUGAGGGCGAAGAGUCUCCUCUGUGAGAUGAAAACACGGCAGCACUUCCAUGUCAAAGCCUCCUCCUGCUCCUCCUCCUGCUCCUCCUCCUGCUCCUCAGGCAUUGUUCAGUCAUGCAGCCAGACACUGAGUCUGCUCUGCUUCUCACACUGAAGGCUUCCUGCUCGUCCAGAUCCCAUCCUGAAAACAAGAGCUGCACGUCUGCAUGGAGUUCCACCGUAAGUCUGUUAGCAGCAGGAUCUUCCACGUGUCACGCCGGGAAUGUGAACACGGCUGCUAUGAGGAAGUGAACUGUACCUAGGAUAAACACCGAUGUUUACAGAGGAGCUCGGGGUGUGAAUGGUCACCGUGGCAACCGUCUGCAACAUGUCAGCGAUGUGUGCCAAGUGUCCCUGAUCCCAGAGCUGGAUGCUUCAGAUCUGUGGUUGUUCUCCCACCAACUGGCCUAAUCUCCAUCUGUGGGAUGCUGCUGCUGCUGACCUUCCUCCAGCCCACUGCUUCCAGCUGCCCAUUUCCACCAAUCUACUCUGCAUCACCCUCACUAUACUUGAUUUGCUCAUCUACAUGUUUUUGAAUUUACCACCAGCUAUAUAUGUAGUAUAUUUAAUGCCAGACCCGUACACCAUAGCAGUAAACUAUAAUCAGUUUCCAUGUUAGUUGUACUUUGCAUGUAUCAUCUGUCUUAUCAUGCAUGUAUUAUACUGUGUGUUUUAUGGUCCUUGUGUCCCCCCCCACCUCUCUACCUCUUCCUCGCUACCUCUACCCCUCUAUCUCUACCUCUAUCCCUCUAUCUCUUCCCCUCUAUCUCUACCUCUCUACCUCUUCUGUCCCUCUCAACCCGCCCGGCCAGCAGCAGAUGGGUUCCCCCACAUUAGAGCCGGGUUCUGCUCGAGGUUUUUUUCCCUGUUAAAAGGGUGUUUUCCUGCCACUGUUGCCUUUUGGCUUGCUCUGGGGUUCAGACAUAUGGGUUCUGUAAAGCGUCUCGAGACAAUUUGACUGUAAUUGGUGCUAUAUAAAUAAAAUUGAAUUGAAUGUUGUUUUUACAGGUCAUGAUUGGAUAAAUGGAAGUUGCUUUUUUCCAGCUGUAGAAAGAUGUUUCUCCAUGCUGGAUGGAUCUCCAACUACUAGAAGAUGUUUCUCCAUGCUGGAUGGAUCUCCAACUACUAGAAGAUGUUUCUCCAUGCUGGAUGGAUCUCCAACUACUAGAAGAUGUUUCUCCAUGCUGGAUGGAUCUCCAACUACUAGAAGAUGUUUCUCCAUGCUGGAUGGAUCUCCAACUACUAGAAGAUGUUUCUCCAUGCUGGAUGGAUCUCCAACUACUUCCUCCUCUGUUCACUGUUUCUGAGCCAUGCUGCAUUUAUUGAUUCAUCCAGUAGCUUUGGUUUUAGUCAGUCUAAAAUAGAUAUGAUUUGAAACCUGUCCAAAGUGACAUAAAAUUACCAAAAUUGACCCAAGAAUUGUCCAAAAUGACUCGAAACAUGUUUAAAAAUUAUCAAAACUAGAUUAAAUAUGACAAUGAGUCAUUUAUUAUUUUUAUAGUCCAGUUUACUGUUUUUUAACCCACUAUUAGUGAGAUUAUCCAAAACAACAUGAAACCUUCCAGAAUUACUUUAAAUAAGUUCAGAAUGACUGAAGAUUUGUUCUAAAGAUAAUUUGAGUUUUUUUAGUGUUUUGAGUUUCUCCUGACCUGAACCACCAAAGUGAAUGCAUAGUCCUGGCAAUGAAGCACGACUUCUGUGUCUCUUUGUGGUCAUGUUGUGUCUCUUUGUGGUCAGUUUGUGUCUCUUUGUGGUCAUGUUGUGCCUUUGUGGACGUUUUGUGUGUCUUUGUGGUCGUUUUGUGUCUCUUUGAGGUCAUUUUGUGUCUCUUUGAGGUCGUUUUGUGUCUAUUUGUGGUCAUGUUGUGUCUAUUUGUGGUCAUGUUGUGUCUCUUUGUGGUCAGUUUGUGUCUCUUUGUGGUCAUGUUGUGCCUUUGUGGACGUUUUGUGUGUCUUUGUGGUCGUUUUGUGUCUCUUUGAGGUCAUUUUCUGUCUCUGUGGUCGUUUUGUGUCUCUUUGAGGUUGUUUUGUGUCUCUUUGUGAUCGUUUUGUGUCUCUUUGUGGUCGUUUUGUGUCUCUUUGAGGUUGUUUUGUGUCUAUUUGUGGUCAUUUUGUGUCUAUUUGUUGUCAUUUUGUGUCUCUUUGGGGUCAUGUUGUAUCUCUGAAGUUUAUUUUUGACAGUUUUCUUAAUAAAACUGAGCUACGUAGAUGAUGCAUUCAAGGACCAUCGGAAAGUUGCAAA